GCCUCAUCAGCAGAUGCUACUGUCGCAAAACCUAGAAGUCCAGAUACACCCGCUCCAAUGAGUGCUAAUGUUCUGAAGGACUUCAUGCCAAAAGAACCAAAUUCUUCUUGAGCUUUUUUGGAAACAAAGGAUGAUAAAAUUGGAGAUGCCGUGGAUUCAGAUUGAAAUUUCCUGCCUAGUAAGCGAUGGACUGCUCUACCUCCCAACAUUGUUAGUCACGCCCUCGGAAAAGGACCGUAGAGAGGGUUGAUCGACGGCGAUAGGACAAACAGCGCCUGAGAGAUCCGGAAAACCAGUCUAGUCUUCAAAACUAUUCAGAAAAUUCUAAGAGGAGG
rnacentral:misc_RNA from 1 species